UACGUAGGGAGCAAGCGUUGUCCGGAAUCAUUGGGCGUAAAGCGCGCGUAGGCGGCCCCGUAAGUCCGCUGUGAAAGUCAAAGGCUCAACCUUUGAAAGCCGGUGGAUACUGUGGGGCUAGAGUCCGGAAGAGGCGAGUGGAAUUCCUGGUGUAGCGGUGGAAUGCGCAGAUAUCAGGAGGAACACCGAUAGCGAAGGCAGCUCGCUGGGACGGUACUGACGCUAAGGCGCGAAAGCGUGGGGAGCGAACAGG
rnacentral:rRNA from 1 species